rnacentral:rRNA from 1 species
UACGUAGGGGGCUAGCGUUGUCCGGAAUCAUUGGGCGUAAAGAGCGCGUAGGCGGCUAGAUAAGUCCGGUGUGAAAGUCACAGGCUCAACCUGUGAAUGCCGCUGGAAACUGUCUGGCUAGAGUCCGGAAGGGGCGAGUGGAAUUCCUGGUGUAGCGGUGAAAUGCGCAGAUAUCAGGAGGAACACCGGUGGCGAAGGCGGUUCUCUGGGAAUGACCUGACGCUGAGGAGCGAAAGUGUGGGGAGCGAACAGG